rnacentral:rRNA from 1 species
GACGAACGCUGGCGGCGUGCCUAAUACAUGCAAGUAGAACGCUGAAGAGAGGAGCUUGCUCUUCUUGGAUGAGUUGCGAACGGGUGAGUAACGCGUAGGUAACCUGCCUUGUAGCGGGGGAUAACUAUUGGAAACGAUAGCUAAUACCGCAUAACAAUGGAUGACACAUGUCAUUUAUUUGAAAGGGGCAAUUGCUCCACUACAAGAUGGACCUGCGUUGUAUUAGCUAGUAGGUGAGGUAACGGCUCACCUAGGCGACGAUACAUAGCCGACCUGAGAGGGUGAUCGGCCACACUGGGACUGAGACACGGCCCAGACUCCUACGGGGGGCAGCAGUAGGGAAUCUUCGGCAAUGGGGGCAACCCUGACCGAGCAACGCCGCGUGAGUGAAGAAGGUUUUCGGAUCGUAAAGCUCUGUUGUAAGUCAAGAACGAGUGUGAGAGUGGAAAGUUCACACUGUGACGGUAGCUUACCAGAAAGGGACGGCUAACUACGUGCCAGCAGCCGCGGUAAUACGUAGGUCCCGAGCGUUGUCCGGAUUUAUUGGGCGUAAAGCGAGCGCAGGCGGUUUGAUAAGUCUGAAGUUAAAGGCUGUGGCUCAACCAUAGUUCGCUUUGGAAACUGUCAAACUUGAGUGCAGAAGGGGAGAGUGGAAUUCCAUGUGUAGCGGUGAAAUGCGUAGAUAUAUGGAGGAACACCGGUGGCGAAAGCGGCUCUCUGGUCUGUAACUGACGCUGAGGCUCGAAAGCGUGGGGAGCGAACAGG